AUUGAACGCUGGCGGAAUGCUUUACACAUGCAAGUCGAACGGCAGCACGGACUUCGGUCUGGUGGCGAGUGGCGAACGGGUGAGUGAUGUAUCGGAACGUGCCCAGUCGUGGGGGAUAACGUAGUGAAAAUUACGCUAAUACCGCAUACGAUCUAUGGAUGAAAGCGGGGGAUCGCAAGACCUCGCGCGAUUGGAGCGGCCGAUAUCAGAUUAGGUAGUUGGUGGGGUAAAGGCCGACCAAGCCAACGAUGUGUAGCUGGUCUGAGAGGACGACCAGCCACACUGGAACUGAGACACGGUCCAGACUCCUACGGGAGGCAGCAGUGGGGAAUUUUGGACAAUGGGCGAAAGCCUGAUCCAGCCAUUCCGCGUGCAGGAUGAAGGCCCUCGGGUUGUAAACUGCUUUUGUACAGAACGAAAAGGUUUCUACUAAUACUAGGAGCUCAUGACGGUACUGUAAGAAUAAGCACCGGCUAACUACGUGCCAGCCGCCGCCGUAA
rnacentral:rRNA from 1 species